rnacentral:misc_RNA from 1 species
AAACCUAUUCAAGUAGUUUACUUGGAAGUGAAGGAAGAAUACUUUUUAAAUAAAGAGUUCUCCUUUGAAAUUGAUUAGCAGAUGGUAUAAAAUCCUGACGUUGCAAGAUUUUUUAUCUUUCGAAGGUGAUUUUAUUAUCUUGCUUCAAAUCCAUUUAUUGGCAUAUAUAUUAUAGUUAUGUUUGUUUUACAAAUAUACUAAAUAUUGUUGACAGUAAAUAAUUUAUUUAUA